rnacentral:rRNA from 1 species
CCUAACACAUGCAAGUCGAACGGUAACAGGAAGAAGCUUGCUUCUUUGCUGACGAGUGGCGGACGGGUGAGUAAUGUCUGGGAAACUGCCUGAUGGAGGGGGAUAACUACUGGAAACGGUAGCUAAUACCGCAUAACGUCGCAAGACCAAAGAGGGGGACCUUCGGGCCUCUUGCCAUCGGAUGUGCCCAGAUGGGAUUAGCUAGUAGGUGGGGUAACGGCUCACCUAGGCGACGAUCCCUAGCUGGUCUGAGAGGAUGACCAGCCACACUGGAACUGAGACACGGUCCAGACUCCUACGGGAGGCAGCAGUGGGGAAUAUUGCACAAUGGGCGCAAGCCUGAUGCAGCCAUGCCGCGUGUAUGAAGAAGGCCUUCGGGUUGUAAAGUACUUUCAGCGGGGAGGAAGGGAGUAAAGUUAAUACCUUUGCUCAUUGUCGUUACCCGCAGAAGAAGCACCGGCUAACUCCGUGCCAGCAGCCGCGGUAAUACGGAGGGUGCAAGCGUUAAUCGGAAUUACUGGGCGUAAAGCGCACGCAGGCGGUUUGUUAAGUCAGAUGUGAAAUCCCCGGCUCAACCUGGGAACUGCAUCUGAUACUGGCAAGCUUGAGUCUCGUAGAGGGGGGUAGAAUU